AAGUCGUAACAAGGUCUCCGUAGGUGAACCUGCGGAAGGAUCAUUACAAAUCUUUUGCGAGUGCUGCGUGCGUAACUGUGCGUAGCAUUUCACAACAUUAGCACAAGGUCGCAAGGCCUUGAUGUUUACGCUUGUUUGUUUGACAGAGUUAGUUGAGACAAUAAAAAGACAACUUUUAACAAUGGAUCUCUUGGCUCUU
rnacentral:misc_RNA from 1 species